rnacentral:lncRNA from 1 species
UCUAUGUUUCCUGUCCAAAUAUUCAAUGGAAAUUUACCCAUUUUCAUUGUUUUUUUUUCAUAGAAAAUCAAAAUGAGUACUAUUUGUGACGUCAUGAAUAGAACGCAGGAAUGUAAAUUUGCCAAAAAAGACUUAUUUCCUAUCUUGUCACUGUAUAAGCUUUUAUUCAUUGUGAUAGUGGUCAAUAAAUCCCAAUUUAAAAUUUAGGCUAAAAAAGGGGGCCAUUUUAG